rnacentral:rRNA from 1 species
GAUGAACGCUAGCGGCAGGCUUAAUACAUGCAAGUCGAGGGGCAACAGACCACUUCGGUGGUGCUGGCGACCGGCAAACGGGUGCGCAACACGUAUGCAACCUACCUCUAUCAGGGGGGAUACCCCCGGGAAACUGGGAUUAAUACCCUAUAAUAUUAUGAAUCCGCAUGGUUUUAUAAUUAAAGCUCUGGCAGAUAGAGAUGGGCGUGCGUCUGAUUAGGUAGUUGGUAGGGUAAUGGCCUACCAAGCCGACGAUCAGUAGCUGAUGUGAGAGCAUGAUCAGCCACACGGGCACUGAGACACGGGCCCGAUCCUACGGGAGCAGCAGUAGGGAAUAUUGGGCAAUGGAGGAAACUCUGACCCAGCCAUGCCGCGUGAAGGAUGAAUGUCCUUUGGAUUGUAACUUCUUUUAUAAGGGAGAAACCUGCGGAUUCAUCUGCAGCUGACGGUACCUUUUGAAUAAGCACCGGCUAACUCCGUGCCA